CGCGCGCCGUCAGCAGGAAGACACGUACUGGUCUUUGAAAGGGUCAAGGUGAUUGGUGAUGAUGAAGAGUCAAGGAUAAGGAGGUGAUAACUACCUUCCGAGAUGGUUUUCUGGACUGACCAGGGGGAAGUACAUCAAGUUACCAAUGAAUACCAAUGGGCGGGAUCCAGAUGAAGCCACUGUUGAUGUUCAAUACAAAUCAUCAGUUUAAGGCAUACGUGACCCAUUAUGCCACAUGGUCAUCAUACAAUCAAACGCACAGUCUUCUCCCCCAAUGACUACACAUCGCAAGGUUGGAAGCGACCUGCAUACAGCUACACCCUGCGACUUUCCAUCAGGGCGCCUGACCACCGCGUGGACGGAGAUCCUUUUUUUUGAGGGGGAAAAUCUUCCAAUGACUUCUCCCGCCUUGGGCGAGGCGAGAGGGAGUGUCAGACUCUUACUGACUAAAAACCACCCCGUUCCUACUCCUGCUUUUCGAGCCGAAGCCCCGGUAGACCUGCUAGGUAGUUCGCAGAGUGGAGGUAAUACACUACUCUUACCAGAUUAUAAAUGAGAAUAAAACGUGUUCUCUGACGCUGACUAACCCUAGAAAGAGCUAUAAACAAGCACCUCAUAGCAGCCCCUAAUUUCAUUAGUCUAACUCGACCGGAGUAAUACCACGGCCUCACAGUAAACCGACGUGAAACAACGCUUGCGUUGUGUGAGUGAGGUUACCGGAGGCCCAAUUACCUUCACCAAUCUUCCUAAUCCCCGAUUGCCCAACAACCCUUAAAUUUGUAUCCUCAAAAAGGCCGGCAACGCACUUGUAACGCCUCUGGUGUUUCAAGUGUCCAUGGGCGGCGACGAUUGCUUACCAUCAGGUGAUCCGUCUGCUCGUUUACCGGCUUAUGCAUGGCAUGUGCAUCUCGCGGCGCCUCUCUGUAACGUAGUGUCAUAAGCACUUGCCUACCACAGCAUCGUUCGAAAUGAUAAUUUUGAAAGAAGGGGUGUAAGUGGCUCCCCCCACACCUGAAGAGCCAAAGCCAACCUCCCCUGCCCGUGGUACACCCUGCUAAUCAACGAACGAGGCUCUGGCGUACCUGGUCUUCCCCAAUUUACCUCCCAGAGGCAACAACACACCUGCAACUCUAUUGCUGCGGGUGUAGUUCUACUCUUGCCUCCAAGCGCACCAUCAGCUUAAAAGGGCUAUAUUGAGGAAGUCAGGUCUUUGCAGAAGAACUUCUGUAGACCAAAAGAUUUCUUGUCUAUAGGAUUUCUUCUUUAUUCUAUUGGAGAUAGGUAUGUUAUGCAUUUAGUCCUGAAUAAUGUAUCUACCUCCUUAUUUAAGGUGUAAAAUUUGUAAAUAUUCACUUAUUCCAUGAUUGAGUAAAACUACAAAAACUAUUUUAAUUCGUCAUAUGUUCAAAGUUUAAAAUCAAAAUAUAUAUAUAUAUAUAUGUAUAUAUAUUAAAAAAUUAAUAGGUGAGUUAUCAAAAUAAAAACGAAAUAAAAAAUAUAAAAUAAUAAUA